rnacentral:rRNA from 1 species
GAUGAACGCUGGCUACAGGCUUAACACAUGCAAGUCGAGGGGAAACGACGGGGAAGCUUGCUUCCCCGGGCGUCGACCGGCGCACGGGUGAGUAACGCGUAUCCAACCUGCCUCUGACUGAGGGAUAACCCGUCGAAAGUCGGCCUAAUACCUCAUGGCAUCGUCUGCGGGCAUCCAACGACGAUUAAAGAUUUCAUCGGUCAGGGAUGGGGAUGCGUCUGAUUAGCUUGUUGCGGGGUAACGGCCCACCAAGGCUACGAUCAGUAGGGGUUCUGAGAGGAAGGUCCCCCACAUUGGAACUGAGACACGGUCCAAACUCCUACGGGAGGCAGCAGUGAGGAAUAUUGGUCAAUGGGCGGGAGCCUGAACCAGCCAAGUAGCGUGCAGGAUGACGGCCCUAUGGGUUGUAAACCGCUUUUAUGCGGGGAUAAAGUGAGGGACGUGUCCUUCAUUGCAGGUACCGCAUGAAUAAGGACCGGCUAAUUCCGUG